CGCGGCUCCUCCUCGCCCCUGUCGCGGUUCCUGCCUCAGGGGCAGCGUCGGGCCGCCCAGCCCGCGCCCCCGCCUCUUCUAGGCUUCCGCACGUGGCUCUCUAGCCAGGCUGGAGACUGAAGCAACAGAGAGGUAUCAUCUCCCAAUCUGGUAUUCUGGCCUGGAGAAUUCCAUGUACUGUGUAGUCCACGGGGUCUCGAAGACAUGACUGAGUGACUUUUACGUUCACUUUUGGGCUUCCCCCAUGGCUCAGCUGGUAAAGAAUCCGCCUGCAAUCAGGAAUCUGGACUUCCUCUUUGAGGUGGCGAUCACUGCUGUCAGAAAGAUGCAGAGAUCUGACCAUCAAGCUAAGGACACCGGCACAGAUGGUCACUUGAUGGGUCACUGAGGAUGGUGAGGAGGCACUUUGUAAGUUGGGCUCUGCCAGUGACCUUGAGCAGUGACACAUGGGGACACAGUGCUGAUAGAAU
rnacentral:lncRNA from 1 species